GUUCCAGGGCCUUAGCAUCAAGAGGCCUGGCAGCUUCUGCCUUCACCCUCUCAGACCUCGGCCAAGACUGUGCUGUGAAGAAGCCCAGCAAGCUCACUGGAGGUCAGAGGCCACGUGGAAAACUACACCAGCUGCCUGACGGUGAGGGAGACCUCCAGCCAAAUGCAGCCACAGGACUGAGUCCAGACCCUGAGCCCUUGCACCAAGUCACAGUGAUGCAAGCAGGGCCUCCGUCACUACCUGGAGCACAGAUGCCUGGAAUUCUGAAUACAAAGGGUUGGCUGGUCAAGUACUAUUUCUUCUCUAGCCAUAUUUCCAGACCUAAGACACUGUUUUGUCUUUGGAUGCAAAGUGAUAGUGAUUCAAUUGAGUAACAGGGAUUAAAAGCACAUCUGCACAACGCCAGGUAGGCUGGCCACAGCAGGUGACCCACCAGAUGUGGCUCACGGAGAACAGCUUGCCACCAGCUCUUCAGACAUGCCCUCUGAGGCAGCUUCAGGGUGGAUCAUUGGCUUAAAAAAGGGAGAUCAGAGGACUUACUUUCUCAACCCACAGCUAUACCGUAUACAGGAAAAGAUGCUGAAAAAGUGAAACUGACUUAUCAGAAGGUUCUCUGACUCCUGGAAGGGAGGAAUCUAUGCCAAAGAAGCUGGGUCAGACUGUGAAGGAAUGGGAUUAUGAUGGAAGUGAUCUUUCCCAAAAUAUGAUGAGUUCCUUGAAAGUAAAAAAUUGAAAAUUUGUCUAACUUUUCAAACAAAUUAAAAAAGCCACCGAAGCUAUGUGAUGGGCAUACAGCAAAUCUCUGUAUUUUUUUUUCCUGUAAACCUAAAAUUAUUUCCCCUCACAAAAUUAUUUAAAACACAAAACAAAACCACUGAAGAACCUUGAAGGGUAAGUUAUUGUAUUGCUUUGGCCGAAGAAACAUACACAAUAGCCUGGUAGAGCCUGACACUGCUGAACGCCUGCUGGAUGGAAAACUGUGGAUGGAAAGUCAGCAAAAGAGAUGACAGCCUGCUACUUCCCAAUGAAACUGUAGCCUGUUGAAUCAAAGAUUAAGCUGCAAACAUGAAUGCUGAGUUAAUAUUUCAUUUUUAGAAGUAUGCCUGGACUUGCUAUCUGACUUGUAGUCACACAGUAACAUCAAAGAUCUUUUAUGUAGAUGGUUGGCAAUAAAACACAAGUGAUGCUGGCUGAAAGAUUUAACAUUCUGAAAACCUUUACUGACUUUCAAUUGUUUAUCCGGGAACAACUGUACUGACAUCUGCCCAGGCGGUUCAAAAGCAACAGAGGAUAAAACCACCAGAGCCUGAGCAUCCCUCAGGGCAGGGCUGCCAAACUCUACUGGCAGUCACACUAUUCUCUACUGCUACCAUAGGCAGGCAGACAGACAGACAGACGGAAAGAUGAUAGAUAAAUAGGUAGAUGGUAAGAGUUUCAUUUGAGGAUACAUUUGAUGAAGCAGCAGGAAUUAAUCUGAUUAAAUCUUGAUUCUUGUGGCCCAUCUUUUUAACAUUCUGUGUAACAAAAUGGGAUGUGCAUGAUGGUUAUGUUUAGGAAAAGCAUUAGUAAGAUGACUUGCAAGCUAAACUAGGCACUCUUUUGAAGGAACACCAUUUUUACUUGAAAGAAUGACAAAUUAUGGUUAUUCAGGCUUGUGUAUCUGGCAGACAUUUUCUAAUAAAUUAAUGAGGUGACCCUGUUAUUUCAAGCAAAACAAUUGAUAGUAGCUAUUGUCAAAAAUAAAAUUUGAACUCUCAAGAGAAAACAAGAAUUAAAGAAAACUUCUACCUGCUACCAUGACCUUGAUAGCUUCCAAUACCUAAACACUCUUCUGAUGAGAUCAGUGGCAAUAUUAGGGGGUACAAUUUUGGGGGAUGUUUUACAGUUGACCCUUGAAUAACACAUGUUUGAACUGUGCAGGACC